GCAUUAAUGGGGUAGUGGUAACCUGGGUCGUUGCCAUGGGACAGUCACUGUUCGACCCGCCGGGGGUUCGAUUCCCCCUUAAUGCA